rnacentral:lncRNA from 1 species
UCUCAUGCUUGGUGACCGCAUGCCAUCCUCUACUUCAUCCAACACCUGGAAAGCAGUCAAAUUGCAUUACUUUCACCAAUAAUUACAUACCGCUAUCUCGCACUGUAUUCUUCUGCAAUUUAACAUACCUUCUCUGCAACUUGCCAUACCCUCUCUCUCUCACACAAUUUAUAUUCAUCUCUUACCCUGCUAGGAUAGGCAGCCGCACUGUACCACUCAUUCGAUGCAAUUAAACAUAUGCAAAAGCAUCAGUCAACAAAUUAUUGUAAAAUCCCAGCCAAGUUGAAUGGAAAGUUUUACAGGUUGGCAGUGAGGCCAAGCAAUGCAAUAUGGAGUAGACUGUUGACAGUGUUGGGUGACCAAGAAGCAGCAUGUACAUAAGAUGGAGUAGCUCUGAUAUGAGGAUGUUAAGGUAGAUGUGUGUCUAUACAAAGCUGGUUAGGAGUGGAAACGAGGACAUUCGAAAGAAUGUUAG